ACCGCAACGUCGCACACCCGUACGGCCGGCCCCCCCCCCGACCCCGUCCUCUCCCCCAACCACCGGGGCCCCUACCCGUGCCCGCGUUCCCAGGCGCCCACCCCCACCCCCCGCCUGCCACCACCACCACCACCACCACCGAGGGCAGAGAGAGGGCUCCGACGGGAAGCGUGGCGCCAAUCGGGUAGGGGACACGACAGAGGCAUAUUCAAGAUCUUCUUAUCCUCUUCUUUCCCUUGAAAAUGCAACUCUGCUGCUGAUAGAUUGCCCUUGCUCCAAAUAUUCAAAAAAUUCAGGAAUGUGCAAAAGGUUUGAAGAGAUUUGAGAAUAGCCUGGUGGCUCAGAUGGUAAAGAAUCUGCCUGCAAUGCUGGAGACCUGGGUUCAGUCCCUGGGUAUGGAAGAUCCCCUGGAGAAGGGAAUGGCUACCCACUCCAAUAUUCUUGCCUGGAGAAUUCCGUGAACAGAGGAUCCUGGCAGGCUACAGGCCAUGAGGCUGCAAACAGUCAGACAUGACUGUGCAACUUUCACUUCUUUUUUUUUUUCUAAGUAAUUUAACUACUUUUCCUUACAUGCAUUGAAACAGUAGAAAGUAUCUUAGUUAAUGUCCACCUCACACCUUUCUGGAUUAACUAAUGUUCUUCUUCCUACUGUAAAUUAUAUAUACUGAUGUCUAGGACAACAUAAAUGUUUGGCAUUAGGAGAUUUCUCUUACAUAUACUUUGAUUCUUUUCAGGUGAAAAGCAUGUUGUUUUCAAACCCUAACUUGGGUUCCUGGAUCCUAAACCAACAUGGGUGUGUUAGGAGAAGGGGCUUCCCACUUCAGAAAACAAUUUCUGGAAACCAGCAAGGUAUCUAGGAAUUCAAAUCAACUGUGACACUGUCUCUUUGAAGUAAGCACCUGAUUCCAUAGGUUUAUGAUAUAGUCCCACAAGAUUGUCCACACAUACAUAUGUGAGUGGACAUAAAUAAAAUAUUGAAGUAUAUAUGUACUCUGAUUUUGCUUGACAACCUUUAUUCCACAUAUAUACUGUGUGUUAAAUUUACUUAACAGGCAAUGACUAUAUUUCUUUCAUUUCUGUUUAAGUCCAUUUUUUGUUGAGGGACAAUAGCAAAGUCUGUGUUGCUAUUGUUAAGAACAAGAAACUUGGCUUUUUUCCCCUAUAAUUUUCUGAAAGCUUAAAUAGUUUUUGAAAUUCACUAUCACUCUCCUUGUAAUAAUUGUGAUUUUAACAAAGCAAAACUAAAGGGUAGAAAUUAUACUGUUGUCUCUACUUUUACUAGAAAGAUCAAUCUCUUUGUGUUGAUUGAUUUUUUGUGUGUGGAAAGCAGGCUAAUUUUAUAUUAGCUAUUGCUGAAUGUAGUUAGAAAAAAUAAUAUUCUCAUCAAAAAUAAAAACUAGAAAGAAAGUAAGUAUGACAAAAAUAUUGUUUUAUUUAUGUUUCAAAUUUUGGAUAAUGUUUGCAGUGACCAAAAAAAGAGAAAUAUAUAUAUAUAUAUAUAUACAUCUUCUUUAUAUACACACAUCUUCUUUAUAUUCAGACAACACUUCUGAAGGGAGAAAUUUCUGACGUUUUUCCUUCUAAAUGUCCCUUUAUUAUAGUAUAGGUUUACAUAUUUAUGUUUCAAAAAGAG
ensembl:lincRNA